rnacentral:rRNA from 1 species
CGUGUAGGCGGCUAGACAGGUCUGCUGUGAAAACUCGAGGCUCAACCUCGAGAUGUCGGCGGAAACCGUCUGGCUAGAGUCCGGAAGAGGAGAGUGGAAUUCCUGGUGUAGCGGUGAAAUGCGCAGAUAUCAGGAAGAACACCUAUGGCGAAGGCAGCUCUCUGGGACGGUACUGACGCUGAGACGCGAAAGCGUGGGGAGCGAACA